AUUGAACGCUGGCGGCAUGCUUUACACAUGCAAGUCGAACGGUAACAGGGUGCUUGCACCGCCGACGAGUGGCGAACGGGUGAGUAAUACAUCGGAACGUGCCCUGUAGUGGGGGAUAACUAGUCGAAAGAUUAGCUAAUACCGCAUACGACCUGAGGGUGAAAGUGGGGGACCGCAAGGCCUCAUGCUAUAGGAGCGGCCGAUGUCUGAUUAGCUAGUUGGUGGGGUAAAGGCCUACCAAGGCGACGAUCAGUAGCUGGUCUGAGAGGACGAUCAGCCACACUGGGACUGAGACACGGCCCAGACUCCUACGGGAGGCAGCAGUGGGGAAUUUUGGACAAUGGACGCAAGUCUGAUCCAGCCAUUCCGCGUGCAGGAUGAAGGCCCUCGGGUUGUAAACUGCUUUUGUACAGAACGAAAAGGCUCUGGUUAAUACCUGGGGCUCAUGACGGUACAGUAAGAAUAAGCACCGGCUAACUACGUGCCAGCCGCCGCAGUAA
rnacentral:rRNA from 1 species